rnacentral:rRNA from 1 species
AUACGGAGGGUGCACGCGUUACUCGGAAUCACUGGGCGUAAAGCGCGCGCAGGCGGCUUGAUAAGUUGGAUGUGAAAGCCUACGGCUCAACCGUAGAACUGCAUCCAAAACUGUCAGGCUAGAGUGUGGGAGAGGAAGAUGGAAUUAGUUGUGUAGGGGUAAAAUCCGUAGAGAUAACUAGGAAUACCAAAAGCGAAGGCAAUCUUCUGGAACACUACUGACGCUGAGGCGCGAAGGCGUGGGGAGCAAACAGGAUUAGAAACCCCAGUAGUCC